GACGAACGCUGGCGGCGUGCUUAACACAUGCAAGUCGAACGGGUCUGCCCUGUUUUUUGCGGGGUGGGUCAGUGGCGAACGGGUGAGUAACACGUGAGUAACCUGCCCCUCACUUCUGGAUAACCGCUUGAAAGGGUGGCUAAUACGGGGUGUUCUGGCUGUGCCGCAUGGUGUGGCUGGGAAAGAUUCACUUUUGUGGUGUUUUGGUGGGGGAUGGGCUCGCGGCCUAUCAGCUUGUUGGUGGGGUGAUGGCCUGCCAAGGCUUUGACGGGUAGCCGGCCUGAGAGGGUGGGCGGGCACACUGGGACUGAGAUACGGCCCAGACUCCUGCGGGAGGCAGCAGUGGGGGGUAGUGCACAAUGGGCGGAAGCCUGAUGCAGCGACGUCGCGUGAGGGAUGGAGGCCUUCGGGUUGUGAACCUCUUUCGCCGGUGAAGAAGGUCCUGCUCUUUGUGGUGGGGUUGACGGUAGCCGGGUUAUGAAGCGCCGGCUAACUACGUG
rnacentral:rRNA from 1 species